CGGGGAUGGGUGGUGGUGGGGGAGGAAACUAAAGGAGAUUCUGGGAGAGGCUGGGGGUGCUUCUACCCUUGUUUCCAGGACUCCUGGGCAGAGGUUCUUUAGCUGGAUCUGCGACUGGUCCCCAAAUAGCCACAGGCAGGGCUCCACCCCUCCCCGACUUUCCUCCAGCCAAUCGGAACCUCCUCCCUACCCAGGACCCUGAAAAGCGUGUUUACUUCUAAAUCCAUAUCCUGUUUGCCCAGCCUCCAACCAAGCUCAUUUAAACCCUCACUCCACCUCGUCAUCCAGCCAGGGCCCACUCCACUUCCAUUGCCCACCUUCACUUUCCUCCUGGAUUCCGGGCUAAGCCACCUUCUUCCCGUUUUCCCAUCCCUUCCCAAGGCCCCGCCCCGCCCCACUUCCUGGCUCUGCUGAGACAAGCUCGUUUCCUCUCCCUGGGUUUGGCUUGCAGUUUUCUCCUCAGGUCUUUCCCCUUGAGGUAGAAAAAGCCCACGGGUGGCUUCCCUGGUAUCUCCAUACUUCGCCUGUAGGUCCACUUUCACUCAUCUUCAGUGAAAGCAGGAAGGGCCCAAGGACCACCCUGCAUAACAAAGUUGAAGGAAACAGGAAUGCUCAAAAGCACUGCCCAUCUCCGACCCUGCCGUUCACAGCUUCCUCACCUGGGAUUGUUGCUCAGCGUCCAUGGAUGGACUUCAGAGGCGUGUGUGACAUUUUCCUGAGGUGAGCAGCCUCAGAGGGGUCUGUGAUUCAAAAAAUGUUAAGAUCCACUGUUCUACUCUUUGUUGAGAGGUAAGUGGCUGAGGACGGUUCCCAAGACAGAGAAACGGGGUAGAAGCGUACUUAGUGACAGUUCCAGGAGCC
rnacentral:lncRNA from 1 species